rnacentral:lncRNA from 1 species
CACUUUUUUUUCUUCCAGAAAAGAAACCCAAACACAGUAGCCUACAUCUCAACAAGGGUAUCCUUCUUCAAUUGUUUUCCUCGAAAACCCUCUGAGCUGCUGGCAUUUUGUUCUUCUUUGGAAUUAGAUCUGAAGCAAGCUCCUACCAUUUAUCAACCUGUGUUCAUGUUCAGAAGAACUUAGAAGGUCAGUAAAUGUGAGGAAGGGUUAACACAGUUGGAGACAGCAGAAAAAGAGGACGUAUCACAGCAGGAAGCCCGGACGCUGGGACCAUCUUCAUCUCACUACUGUCAUUGGUAUUUGAUGGGUUCUGGAGACAUUCUGGAUAUCCACCCAAAUUACAGUUCUGGCUGUGAAAAAGGCUCCGAAGAAUGACUGCAUAGUGGAAAAGGUAGUUUUUGGAAAGAAUCUGGGCUUAGCAUAUGAGAAAACACAACAGUCCACACUGAAAACAGACUGAGAAAGAAUGUUUUAAGCAGCAUCAAUGUACUCCAUACUGGAGCUCGGUACCUCAGGGAGCUGUAUGUGGAAGGGCUGGCUGUGGCUCAACUUC